rnacentral:lncRNA from 1 species
AUGGAUACAAAUUACAAUCAUGCAGAUACAGAUUUUGUUAAUUCGUUACAUGAAGGAGCCUUUAUAUUUUAACUGAGGAGGAAAUGGCCUGUGCCUGAUACAAAUAUUGCGGAAAAAUAGAUGUAUAUAAUAGUUAGACAAGAGCUAACACAUCACUGUAGUUCUCAUCAAUAAAACCUGGAAAAAAACUCUUCAAAAACAGCAAGAAACAAGAAUCGACUGCCAAAGGUUACAUGGUUGCCCAAUUUUCUAGUUCUAUUUUUCUCCCAUAAAAUAUGAUCACACCUUAUUAGAAAAUGAUGGUCUACGGAUCACUCUUCCCGUCUCCAGCCUUAUAUCUCUGUCGCGCGUCUCAUCUCAUGUCCGGCGCCGGAAGCUCGCAGGUAGCUUCACUUUUAUGUAGAUAUGUAAAGAUAAAAGAGAGAGAGGAAGGUUUGAUGAGCAUCAUCCAUUGAUGGCCUUUACGACCUCAAUAAAGAGAAGCCAAAUGAGAGAGACGUCUCUUUUAGUGUUUAUAGACCAAAAAAAGUGGGUCGUUGUAGAGGGUAUCUUCGAAAGCAUAUGCUUCAAACCAUUAA